AGUCCUUGAGUACUCUCGCCAGGGAUUCACUUAUAGCUCCAUUGCUUGUACUUUCCAAAGUCAUUAGGGCAUUCAUUCCUUCAGCAAACAUUUACUGAAUCUCCGUUAUGUGCCAGUGUGUCUGAGUGUCUUCUAGGUGGUUAGGACACAGGAAUGAAUUAAAAAGACAAGUUUCCUAACAUCGUAGAAAGCCUGUUGUAGUAAGAAGAGACAGGCAAUGAACAAGGCAGUAAAUAAGUGAACGACAUCGUUUCCUGUAGUAAUGAAUGUUUCCAUGAAAACAAAACAAAACAAAACAAAACAUGAUCUGUGACAAAGCCUGACCUAAGCUGGGAGGGUGUCUCUGUACUCAUUUAGGAUGGGUGCUCGGGCGUAAUUAUCAGCUCAGCAUUUCUCUUUAUACUGAAUGGCUUUGACCACACAGGGACUAGUUGGAAAUCACACGUAACUACUAACACCUGGGCUACUGUGUCAUGGUGAGUGGGGCAGGAAAAGAAGAUGCAGAGACACUAACCCCAAGAACGUAGUCACAGGUUGCCAAUCUGUCCUCAGUCUGGGGGAAAUAGAUGAUAUAACGGAACAGCACGCAAGCACAUCCUAGCUUUUGGUUUUAGACUUUUUUCUACAUCAGAACAUAAACACAGGUUAGACACAUGGGGCACCUGGGUGGCUCAGUCGGUUAAGCGUCUGACCUGUGAUUCCAGCUCAGGUCAUGGUCCCAGGGUUGUGGGAUUGAGCCCCGAGUCGUGCUCUGCACUGAGUGCGGAGCCUGCUUAAGGUUUUUUCUCUCUCCCCCUGUGCCCCUCCCCUGCUUGCACUCUCUGUCUCUCUUAAAAAAAAAAAAAAAAAAAAAAAAGUCUUACCCUGCAUAGAACAUUGUGAUACAGUUUUUGAGUUGCAGUUGGAAAGGACUCAUACUGUUGUGUAUUUUUAUGCUUUAUACCUUUUUGUAAAACGGUGCUGGUGAAGGUGACGAUGUAGUCUAGGUUGGAAGAUUCUUAAACAGGAAACUGAAGGCAAUACUGAAUCAACAGAGAGGAAUAUUACAGAAACCUUGUUUUCUCAAGAGGACAAUGGGAGUGUAGGCUGCUGGAAGCACUUUUAUUUCUUUUUCUUUGAGUUCUCAUUAUUAAAUAAUAAAGCAUGCUCUUUUCUGCUUUAGCAAAUCAGUGUCAUCAAAUAAGCCAGCAUAAUUAGACUCACGGAUUCCAGCCUGAAUUUCUGGUCAGCAAAAAUGUUAAAGCAAAUCAAAACCAAAAUACUCUCAGUUCGCUUUUCUGAACUGUAACACUAAUAUAAUUUUUUUUUUCUUUUCAGGAAGGGGGAUGUUCUUGUUUAUGGUUUCCUUUGAUCAAUUACCUCAGAUCAUUCCCAAUGCUAAAAAAAAAUAGUCUUGACUGGAAUCCUGCUUCAGCAUUUGGGACUGAUGCUGAAAGUAGUCUAGAAACAUCGGAUCUUUCGCGUGUUUUGCGACGGUGCGCCUGAGUCACUUCUGCUCUGGGUGACUAAAGUUCUCGGCCCUUCUCUCGAAGCACCUGGAAGGACUGGAUGCAAUGCCGCUGGCUGGGAGGACCCUCCCUGAGUUCUCCUGGGUGGUGACAUCCACCAUCUUUGAACUUCCCAAGGGGUGUCUCAGCUGCUGUCCUGGAACAGCUCUAGAAGAGGAAGGAGGCUGGUUUCCCAUUGCUGGAAUUCGAAUUUCCAAUCUUGGGUCUCCGGCUUUAUUUACACGGAAACCGUGGAGCAGAGUGUUCUACAAAGGAGGCUAUCACAGCUGGAUGUGUUCCACACAAGCCUCUGUCCUGUGAGUCAGGGCUGCAGAUGGGUGAACCAGGUGGUGUUGGAUGCGGGUGCCAGACAAGGGCACAGCAUUUCCCUUACCUGCACAUCUCCUUCAGGAGCCCCAUCAGGCUGCGGGCUGGUCUUGGCCAGAGUUGUUGUGCCAGGUUGAGGUAGCAGGUGAGUGUUACAUCUUCCUCUUUGUAAUGGGGACCACCCCUUUAUUUGGAAAGGUCGUGGAAGGAGGUGGGCAGUCAAGGGUGAAAGGUCCUGCUUCCCUGACCUUGCUGGCAAGGAUUUUGAAUG